UUAUAGAUAUUCCGGAAAGAGCCAUUCUUUUAUGGUCAUGACAAUCAUGACCAACUUGUAAAAAUUGCAAAGAUGCUUGUAUACAUGUGUGUGAUAGUAAACUAAUCGGUGAAUAAUAUUAGGCAGCUUCAAUUCAGCUUGAGGAUGUUAUCAACUUGAGGUCUUGAGGAACUUCCACGCAUUUUGCUAUUGAUGUCAGGGAUGCAGGAUUUUGGAGCAUUUGAGCUCUGAUGCUACCUUGCUCUUCUGUGAACAACGCAAUGACUUAUCAGUAUUGCUUGACAGAUACUCCCUCUGUCUGGUCACGUACUUCUCUCUCUUUCUCAUUCUCCCAUUAUACUCGCUAGCUACCAAAACUAUACCACAUUAGUAGCGUUAUCUUUAGCGUCCAUUAAUUGCAAGAUUAAGGUAUGCAAAUUCAUUAUUAAAAAUUUGAAAUGGUUAAGCAAGACAGCAGGUAAGAUAAGAAGUCAAACAUCUGAUUUGUUAAGAAUUUCUUGAUUAGUCUUUAUUUUCCAUCUUCUCAUAUUGUAAGUGCAUUUUCUGGUGUACAUCACGUUGAAACUUGCCAUAGUUGCCUAUUGUUUCACAAUGUUAAGACUCUCGUUUCUGCAUGAUAAUUCCUGUAGUAGAAAGUUCUUUGAUGCAUCAUUGAUCUUCUCUACAAAUUGUUAAGGGCAUAUUGCUUGAUUAAAUGCUUAUAAGUUUGUUUUUACAAAUUUGUUUCACAGGAAGCGAUUAAUGGAUUUAUGGUGGAAUUGAUGAUGUAACUCUUCUAGUUAACUCAUCCCCUAACAAAUGAUGGCGAAAAUCAAUUCCACAGUACUGUAAAUAGUUAAAUUCUAUUUAUGGGUGUUAUUUAUGGAGAAUAGUGUGAAUGUGUACUACAGGUUUUAGAGGAUAACAUUAGGUGUACGACAUGUUUUAGAUGAUAACAUUAUGGAGGCUAAUACCUAAAACUAAUAUAUUACUGUAUUAAGUUUUUUUUUUUGUAAAAUUAUUGGACUAUUUGCACCGCAUA